CCUUAAUGGCAUAACAAAAAACUCGCAGGGGUGGGAAGCAGAGAGACCACAAUGGGGGCGGCGCUCUGACCCCUGAGCAUAAACAAUAAGGCACACGAAGACACUUGGAGCUCGUCCGGCUGUGGCAAACAGCCCUUUUUGUCUUUGAAGCCCUCAGUGACAUUGUUGAAAUACAUCUUCAAAAACAGGAAGCUGUGUGAUUUUUGAUUUUCUGGCGACCUCGCCCUUUCUUGUGAACUGCGAACCGGACCAUGAGCUUUGAUUCACAGCAAAGGUUGGAGGUAGAAACAAAAGUAUUUCCUUUUCACCGAAAUGUCCCUGUUUUCAGAAGCAGCGACGAGGCUAAGCCGUAAGGUGCCCGACAGACAUUCCUGAAACGAGAUGGAGGAUUGUCGCCGGAAGCAGACGGCCUGCGUGUCAAGGGCCCCGGGCCAGAGGGGACACUCAUCAGACGUCCGCCUCCUCACUCAUUGCAGACAACCCCACCCGCAUCAUCAACAGUUGUCUCUGAUGCACUUUGGAAUCAACUGCCAUGCAGGGACUUCCGAUCCAGUUGGAAAGACUCCAGGACAGGCCACUGAGAAGAGCCCUCCUCGAGUUUGCACAGGGGAGAGGAAGGGGGGACACUUUCGAAGCAGAGAAACGCUUUCGUGGAGCCUGAUGAUGCCAGAGCCCGAGUUCGGGCCAAAAAGGUGGCCAAGAGUCUCAAAAUUGGAGAAAAGGCUGACACGUAAGGCAACACAAAACAGUGAAACAGCUAGAGGAUAUUGGGUAGCGGAAACCCCCAUCCCUGCGCCACCAGCCCGGUCAGCUCAGUCGGCAACGUCCGCUGGGCCGGCAGAGCCGAAAUGGCUCCUUCAGGCUACAGGGUGGGGAUGCUCCCAAGUCUUUAGACCAAAAGCGACAUCUUAGACUUCUAGACGCUUUCACACUGAGUGCUAGGUUUGUUUUUCUGACAUUUUAUGAAAAAUUGCAAAUAUAGGGCAAAUAUAGGGGUGGCUCAGUCAGUUAAGCGUCCGACUUGGGCUCAGGUGGAGAUCUCACGGUUGUGGGUUCGGGCCCUUCAUCGGGCUCUGUGCUGACAGAUUGGAGCCUGCU